UAAGUGAAUCAGAUGAUCGCGGGAGUAAUCCCGAGGAAAGUCCGAGCUCCAUAGGGCAGGAUGCUGGGUAACACCCAGUGGGGGCGACCCUAAGGAAAGUGCCACAGAAACAUACCGCCUAUAAAAGGUAAGGGUGAAAAGGUGAGGUAAGGGCUCACCAGCAAUUAGGUGACUAAUUGGCUAGGUAAACCCCAUCCGGAGCAAGGCCAAAUAGGGGAGAAGGAGCUGCCCGUUCCAUCUGACUCCCGGGUUGGCUGCUUGAGGCAUUAGGCAACUAAUGUCCUAGAUAGAUGAUCAUCCGCGACAGAACUCGGCUUACCGAUUCACUUAGCAG
rnacentral:RNase_P_RNA from 1 species